UACGUAGGGUGCGAGCGUUAAUCGGAAUUACUGGGCGUAAAGCGUGCGUAGGCGGUUCGCUGUGUCCGAUGUGAAAGCCCCGGGCUUAACCUGGGAAUGGCAUUGGAAACUGGCGGGCUUGAGUGCGGCAGAGGGGGGUGGAAUUCCGCGUGUAGCAGUGAAAUGCGUAGAGAUGCGGAGGAACACCGAUGGCGAAGGCAGCCCCCCUGGGUCGACACUGACGCUGAGGAGCGAAAGCCGUGGGGAGCGAACAGG
rnacentral:rRNA from 1 species